CUAGAACUGCCAUUGAAGGUCAUCAAAACCAACAUUGCUAUAAAGAAGCACCCUUCAUGUUUCGUUUGCUUCUGCAGAGUGUUUGCUGCAAAAUGACAGAGUGGGUGAGGCUGAAACAAUUGAAAUGUCCAGCACCAGGAUGUCCUUCGACCAAGCUUGUAGAUUGGGUUUGCGCAAAAGAUAAAAAUAAUACUUACCUCAACGAAAAUGGCGAAAUUAAAUGUGCUAAAAGUGAGAACGGGGA